CUUGUGCGUCAUAGUCUGGAGUAAAAUUUGUUGUGGCAAUUCUUAGGAGAGAUCCGAGGUGUUGGUCCGUUUACCUCGAUCUGUGAUGGGUUGAUGUUGAUGUGGCUGAACGUCACGUCGCAUACGUCGAGCCAAAUUGGCCACUCUUUUCUAACAUUCGGCACUCACUUCUUUUCUUCGGGCCACUCAUUUUAAUGGAAGGAUUCCAGGGGAAGAUUUGUGGGUGGCUUUAGGGUAAAACUGUAUCUGAAAGCUCAGCGCGCGAAUUACAAGAAUGCUGUCGUCACAGCCCACGCUCUAAAUUUGGGACUCAUACAAAUAGAGCGCGAGUGCGCCAUGUCCGUACUACUGAGUACGUACACGCACUUGUGAGUGUGCAUCAAGCUUUCUGACACGGUUUCUGGUAGUAAAUGCGGAGGCGAGCGGUUCCCCAUCUACUGGGGAAACGCAGUCAUUGCAGGCAAAAUGACCAAAAAAAAAGUUUAAUACAAUUUAUUCAGGGUUGGCGGGCCGGAUUAAACGGUCCCACGGGCCGGAUGUGGCCCGCGGGUCGUAGUUUGCCCACCCCUGGCCUAGAACCUGAUUGUCUUUUGUUCUGUUAAAUUCCGAUUUGAUUUUACCACCGGGAGCUCUUUCACAAGCCAAUGUGGUACCCCUUGUUCGGAUGGUGGGGGGGAUGUUGUACCAGUUGUGAUGCAUAUGAUGGUUCUUAUAGGGUAAGUUCAUACUAACUUGACCAGGUUUUAGACCAUUUGCCUGUUUGAGUCAAGGAUCUUUAAGGUUCCUAUAGCUUUUUAUUUCAUCGCGCGUGGUAGCCGUGGCAAUGUGCUGCUUACAAUGAAAUAUGCUGUUUUUUGUGGGUCUGAACCUGGGUAAACAUUUAACAGACCUGAUGUACACAUUUAUAUUUUACAAAAAAAAAAGGUCUUAUUUAGGUCUCAUGCAAUGUAUAUUUCACUUCUAAGCUUAGAGGUGACCAGGUCACACGCGCAUGAGAUUUUAUGGGGCAGACUUCCUGGCACCAGAAUACAGGAAUCAGCCAUUUGGUUAAAAUCGACAAAGCAGGCUAGCGGGGGAGAAGUCGACCAACUGCCCUCGUGUGCGUGGACCCGAGUAAGGGUAUAAGACCCAAGGCGGGAGAAGACAGGGGGACUUCUUUUUUGGCUAGAGAGAGACACUUCAAUUCUGACAUCGGUUGAAUAAAAUCUUUCCCCAAUCAGCCGUGUGUCACUGAAGUUUUCCUUCCCUGAGCCAGCCACCUAUCCACCGUUUGAUCUUUGAUCUUGGAAACCAGCAGAACAUUGAAGAGAGUUCACCACAUUUUUGGCAUCACAAACAGUUCUCUUGUUCCCCAGGGAGCCCUCGUCCACCUGGGUCUGAGCAUAGAGCGUCCAGCUGGCUGGCUGAGUUUGAGACUUCUAAGCUUUGUGGAGCGCCACCUCCAAAUUCUUAAGGCCAGUGGCACAUCCUGCACAACACUACAACAACUCCAGCUCCACCAAGCAGACUCAAGGCACGCCACCCCUACAACAUGGCAGCAUAAAAGAUGCUCAAUUCCAUCCCUGAAGACAUCUCCAGAGAUGCCUGGCUAGCAGCAGCUUGAAAGCAGGAGUGGGAGGCAGUUGGCCCCUCCCUCAUGCACCGUGAUUUCUGGGAACCAGGAGACGGCGCCAUAGGAGGAGACGAACUACCUCGCCAGCAGUGGAUCACACUGAACUGCUUAAGAACUAGUGUUGGGCGCUUCAACACGUCUAUCCGGCAGUGGGGACUGGCGGACAGUGCGGCAUGCGAGUGCGGAGACCCCGAGCAGACAGCCGAUUACAUCAUCAACACCUGCCCCCUAUAUUGACCACCCUCGAAGGCCGGCCUCUUCGACCUGGGACCAGAGAUGCCGGCGUGGCUCCACGACAUCAAGUUGGAGCUCUGACGCGAGAGAGAGAGAGACAGAGAGAGACAAGGCCAGUGUGAUUUUAUUCACAAACUCUUGUGUUAUUUUCACCUGGGAACAAGGGCUUUCAUAGCGGGCUUGACAACAGACUGGUUAAUGUAAACUGGGGUACGGUUGUUUUUAUAUAUAUUUUAUAUAUAUUUUACAUACCGUUUUUUUCCGUGUAUAGUGCGCCCUCAUGUAUAAUACGCACCCUAAAAAUGGCAUGCUGAUGCUGGAAAAAAGCCUGUACCCAUGUAUAAUACGCACCCAAUUUUUGUGAAUUUUUUAAAAAAUUUUUAAAGUCCCAAUGAUCGUCACACACGCAGGGAGGCAAUGGGUCCCAUUUUUAUAGUCUUUGGUAUGGUCUUAACUAGGCUGGAUGUAGUUUUUUUUGUUGGCGUUGAUUUCUCCGACUGCCCGUGAAGGCACAACCGCGCUCCGUGCGUAUCUCAAGAUACUUAAGAUACCAAGACCUAUGGUCACGAGCUAUGGGUCGUGACCGAAAGAACGAGAUCCCGGAUACAAGCGGCCGAAAUGAAUUUUCUCCGCAUGAUGUCCGGGCUCUCCCUUAGAGAUAGGGUGAGAAGUUCGGUCAUCCGGGAGAGACUCGGAGUAGAGUCGCUACUCCUCCACGUUGAGAGGAGCCACAUGAUGUGGCUCGGGCAUCUCAUCAGGAUGCCUCCUGGACGCCUCCCUGGGUAGGUGUUCCGGGCAUGUCCCACCGGUAGGAGACCCCGGGGACGACCCAGGACGCGCUGGAGAGACUAUGUCUCUCAGCUGGCCUGGGAACACCUUGGGUUCCCCCGGGAUGAGCUAGAUGAAGUGGCUGGGGAGAGGGAAGUCUGGGAGUCCCUCCUGAAGCUGCUGCCCCCGUGACCCGACCCCAGAUAAGCGGAAGAAGAUGGAUGGAUGGAUGGACUCACGUGUCUACUACACAGAGCCCCAUGUCCGUCUGGGCAUAGAAGCUGAAGAAGCUGAAAUCGUUCUGCUAAUAAUGUUUCUCAUACUUUUGCAGGUUGAAGUGAACAAGAGUUGUGCAUAUGAAUUUGGAUCACCAUUUCAGACAGUGACAAUCAAACGUGACAAACCAAGCCAGGAAAGAAUACACGUUACAAUGCCUGCCUGCAUCCCGGUGACGUAGACAUACUGAGAUGAAAAACAAACAGGAAGAGCGCUCCAAAAGUGGGUGGGUUAGUUCAUCAUAAAUGUCAUCCGCCAAAAGUCCUUUAAUCACUACAGAUUAUAUUAGUGACGUGAAUUUUGGUGCUGAUGUAAUUUUUUACAUUUUGUUUACAUCAAGUACCAAUGUUCAGUCCGAUUGAGUGUCUCUUUAAUGAUGCAAAAAGACAAUAGUAAACGUCACUCAAAAUAUUCAUUUAAAAAUUUGCUUUUUUUUUCUUUUAAGCAAACUCCAGUUACUCAAGAGAAAACAAAAAUUAUUGGUGGUUCUGAAACUGAAAAGCAGUGUUAUGCAGUCAAGAUUUGUUUUCUUAAUGGCAGCAUUAUGAGAAAUCAAGCAUUGAUAGAACUCUGUUUUAAUUUUAAAACCAUUUAAAUUUUAUUUCAUUUUUUACGAAAACUCCAAAGAACCCUGGAAAACAGUUGCUGCAUUUAUGAAUCUGUACAUCAACAUUUGUUACAAACAGAACAAAAACGUUUUCAUGUGUACGUGUAUGCAGUAUAUAAAAAUAAGCAUCUUUUUUGAAACUCCAAAGAGCUUGGCUCUUUCACAGAGGUCCAUGUGAGAGCUGUGGAGUCAGUCUUGCACAUAUCUACUCAAAACACAAGCAUGCAAAAGGAGACAAACCCUAAUGAUAGAACUUGUGAAAGUGUUGUCAUUCAAAAUUAAUGUACAAUUCAAAAGUUGCAAAGGAAAACAAUAUUACAGUUUUCAAUAUUUGUUAAUGUAGCAUACAAACGCUCCUGGUGUUUAACACCAGAUGAAUUCAAUUUCUUUUUUCGUUUAAAUUUACAAAGUGCAAUCGCCUACAGCAACUAAAUGAUAAAAAAACACAAUGGCAAAGGAGGAACAAUUCUCAUGUAUCCUGUCUUGUGCUCUGUAUGUAAUGCGUGUGCCGAUUCGUUCAAAAGCCCAGUCACUUAUGCAGACCUAUUUUAUAUUCUGUAUUACAUGUACUGUAGUUUACACGUUUGUGCCUGUUUUCUACUGGAGUGAGUCACUGUUGUGAAGAGCCAGCCCAGUCAUAUCAGCAUCAUCGUCAUCAUCUCCACUGUCCCCAGACUCAUCUUCACUAUGGCUUCCAAGCAUCACCUGCUGUACUGCCAGUGUCGCACCAUCUGAUGUUAGGCUGUGUAGACCCUCCACAUUCAUUGUCACCAUUGUACCUGAAAGCCAGACAAGGAAUUUCACUGUCCAACAACGUAUCUGUGUGAAUUGUCACUUGAUCAAGGAGCAAAUCCGCAUCAGAUGCGAUCAGAUGACUUUGCGUGUGCAGUGUGUGCACUGAGCACAGCGGUGUGUACUCUGUGUUAACAAGAAAAACGCAAGAGGUGGGUAAAAACAGUGACAGAAUUGAUGUGCAUUAUUGAUAUACGUGCACAUAAACACAGAUAGUGUGGACGGUGCUGUGGUGGAGUGAGUGAGCAGCGCCAAGUUCCUGGGGGUGCACAUCAGUGAGGAUCUCUCCUGGUCCACCAACACCGCAUCACUGGCAAAGAAAGCCCAGCGCCGCCUGUACUUCCUGCGGAAACUCAGGCGAGCGAGCGCUCCUCCGGCCGUCAUGACUACAUUUUACCGUGGCACCAUUGAAGGCGUCCUCUCCAGCUGUAUUGCUGUUAAGGGUGGCGGCUGCACUGACUACAACUUGAAGGCCCUGCAGCGCAUAGUGAACACGGCUGGUAAGAUUAUUGGUGCUUCGCUCCCCUCCUUGAAGGACAUUUACACCUCCCAUCUCACCCGCAAGGCGACGACGAUUGUGAGUGAUGUGAGUCACCCCGCUCACUCUUUGUUUGAGCUUCUGCCCUCUAGGAAGAGGUACAGGAGCCUGCGCUCCCGCACCACCAGACUCUCCAACAGCUUCAUACUCCAGGCUGUUAGGAUCCUGAACUCGCCCCCCCUUUCUGCGUAGCGUCCUGUACUUUGCACUAUGCGUACUGUCUGCUGUAUGCACACUGGCUCAGUUUUGCUCCUCUUAUUUAUUGGGUUAUUUGCUUAUUAGUUAUUCAUCACUCAUUUUAUUUAUUUAUUAUUUAUUAGUUAUUGUUUGUGCCUUCUUGUUUUUAUUUUGUGUCGUCUACUUGUAUGUUUAUCGUGUACUGUGUCUUGUCACCAUGGGAUGGAGGAAACGGAAUUUCGGUUUCUUUGUGUGUCUUGACAUAUAAAGGGAUUGACAAUAAAGCUGACUUUGAACUUUGAAAUCUUUUAGUCGCCUAAAUCGGCAACGACACUGACGUUUUUGAAGUCCUGCAACAUUUCCGAGCACAUUAUUUCAGCGACUUUGACAAGGCAGUCUUUAAUGAGGUCUCAAUCUGAAAAAGGCUUGCUAUGUCUUGCAAUGAGUUGGGCAACUUCAUAGCUGGCAAUUGUAGCCUUCUCUUUGAAGAAAUAUUUACUUAAAAUUCACUCUAUUCACUUUAGUAUCUUGGGGAUGGUAAAUGGAUGGCAAAUUUCUUCUUCGUCUACUUUUGUCCUUUUUGGUGGAGCAACUGCCUUGAUCAACAGUAGUGGUAGAACAGUUGCUGGCCCUGGUGUUAGAAUUAAAGAGUGCAAAACAUUGAGGCAAAAGUUGAAGUGGGGGCCAUAUUUUAUUCUAUUUAUAAACUAGCUACUUCUUGAAGUCUGGUGGUAAACCAAACUUGAUUCCGGACCCGGACUUGUCCUUGCCAUACGCUAAGUGUUUAGCUAUUGCUGAUCCAUUAAACAUAUUGUGAAAGUGCUCUCCUAUGCCCUCAUUGGAGGUCUAUGAAUGGUAUUUAGUCGCUGUGUGCAGGCACCACAGUACCUCGGCCACCAAACGCUGAAGUGGUCCAUAGGGUUUGCCAUUUUCGUUUUGCCUCCAUUACCAGGGAAUAUUAUGUCGCCGCAAACUUUUUUUAUUACAGUUGUUGGCAUCCACAGCAUUGCAUUAAUGCUGCACACUACAACAUACUGUAGGUCUCAGGUCUUACUCACACAUAUAAUUUAUAUAAUAGAUGAAAUUACGUGAUUUUUAGGAAAUAGGCCAGCACAAUACAGACGGGAUAAAGUCUUAAAGGUGGAUAUCGGUUUGAAAAUUUAAUACCGCUUCAAAUGGUAUUUCCUACUUUUUAAUGGCAAUAUUUUUUGCUAAUUACUACUUAAAACUUACUAUAGUUUAAUACCUUUUACAACCCCGCGGAUACCCUGAAUGUUAAUAGUUUAAUAAACAAUAUUUUUGUGGUCUCUUGCAUGAUGUUGGUUCCGCCCAACACCAGCGGUGCGCAUCUUCAGGAAGUAUUUCAGUAAAUGUUCAUGAGCCCAAACACUGUGUACUAUUGUGUGAUGUUUGUGAAUAAUUAAUAUAAAAAAUAUCUGGAUUAAACAAUUUUAGAUUAAGUUAUGUUUUUCUUCUGGUCAGAGUAAAUGUACUUGCUUGAGUAGAGGUAUUGUUGAGAGAUGCUCCCAAUUAUACAUUUUCUAUUGAAGAAGACGAACUACAGCAAGACGCUGGAAAGAAUGAGGAAGCGUAUGCAGAACUCAUUCAGUUUUUGGAUGACAAAAGUUUGUCGCUGGUGAUGCGCGAUGCUGCAGAUGACGGGCGAGGGGCCCUACAGAUCCUAAGAAACUACUAUCAAGGCAAAGGCAAGCCACGCAUCAUGAGUCUCUACACAGAACUGACAUCACUACAGAAGUCUGAGAGUGAAAGUGUGACCGAGUAUGUGAUCCGGGCAGAGACCGCAAUCACAGCGCUGAGAAAUGCCGGUGAGACAUUAAGUGAUGGACUAUUGGUAGCAAUGGUGUUAAAAGGUCUGCCGGAGUCCUUUAAACCAUUUGCAAUCCAUGUCACACAACGUGAUGAAACGAUGCAGUUCUCUGAAUUCAAAACAAAGAUGCGCAGUUACGAGGACACAGAGAAGAUGCGGGCUGAAGCAGAUGAUAACGUGAUGAACGUACGGCAGAGGAGAGCGAGACCUGACAGACCAACUGACAGAGGAGCCGAGAGGAGCGCCGCGGAGGUGGUGUGCUUCAAGUGCGGCCUGAAGGGCCACAUGGCCAGAGCCUGCCGGCGUAAACUGUGGUGCAGUCAUUGCAAGAGCAGCACACACCGGGACGCGACCUGCAGGCGGAAGCAGCGCGUCAACCGGGACGACGCACGGAGGGUCCACGGGGAGACUGAAGACCAGGACCGAGACGAGUACUUCUUCCGAGUGAGCGAGGGGGCAGCAAGAGUCGACGUGAGAGGCCUGAUGGUUGACU